CCUCUGUCCUCCACUGCCUCCCGCAGUUUGGUCAAACUCAUGCUGGUAACCUCGAAAACACUAUCCAACCAUCUCGUCCUCUGUCGCCCCCUUCUCCUUGUGCCCUCCAUCUUUCCCAACAUCAGGGUCUUCUCCAGGGAGUCUUCUCUUCUCAUGAGGUGCUACUGGAAGGAAUUAUACGUAUCUGAAGAAGUGUGCAUGCACACAAAAGCUCAUACCAAGAACUAACUUAGUUGGUCUUUAAGGUGCUACUGGAA